GGAGAGACUAUUGCCGACUGAGGGUUGUGGAGGAGUUUAGGAGAGGUGGUUGGGCUGUACCGAGCUGAGACAGUAUUUGACUGGUGAUGUGCUCGGUUUUUCCUGUCUGGGUGCCUGGGUCUGCAGUGAGUAGUAGCCGCUGGGCUUUGGGUUUUUCCCUUAAGUCUUGUUGUAGCGUCCUGUUGCUAAUAGUGUUUCCAAAUGUAUGGGUGUGCUGGCUUGUCUUCCCGCGCGCUGGUAGGUGGUUUAUAGACAAAGUCGUAUCAGCAAGCUCGGAAGCAGCGUAUGGAGCGUGACUAGCCUGCCCGUGGUGUGUGGGCGUCUCUUGGCUUGCUGAUCUGGCGGUCCUGUUUAUAAGCUGUUACAACCCGGGCCUUGAUCUGCUGGGGUGCAUAGAGGGAAGCAUAUAAGCUAUUUCUGGCCCAGUAGGACUUAGUACUCUUGGCAGCAAAAAUAUGGAGGCAUUUAAUGAGUUUUUGGGGUACUGUAUGCACGUUCUGUGGUCAGCACUACAAGUUCACUGCACUCCCAAGUCAUGCAGUUCCUGACUUCUCUUUUUUACGUAGAUUUUAUAUUACUGUACUAUAUGUUGUGUUUAAUUAACCUUUGCUGGUCAUCUGCCUUUUGUUAGAUAACGAAAUUGAAGGAAAAACAAGAAGGUAUAUAUGCAAAAUAAAGUUUGGAAAGAACAAAGGAAGGAUAGGAGGUCCCUGCAAAGCAGUAUAAAGCUGAGAGGAAGAGUUUCAGUCACAGGGACCUAGUUAAACAAACUUACCUUUUAGGUGUAUGGCAGGAGAUGCUAGCUUAGCACCUGUGUGUAAAUCAUGUUUGCUGAAAAGAACAAAGAGUGACAGACUACAGGAUAAAAAGGUACUUCUAGUUGGGCAGAACAAACUCUGAACUCAGAUUACGAAGUAUGUAUAAACAAGUCAAGGGGGGAUGAGCUGAUAGGUGAAUUGAGAAGAAUGUGAACCCUGACUACCUCAGCAAAGGGAAAGGGCUCACUAGUGUUAGGGUAUGGAGAUAAAAGAGGGGCCGUGUCCCCCAGUACUUAGAGAGACCCCACAGGGGUAUCUCUCAGUGAACUCUCAGUUUAUUUGAAUAAAGAAAGCUGAAGACUCUCCUGUCUCUUUCUGGAAUAAAGAUGAUUGAGCAAGCUUAUUGGAGCAGAAGCUUUCUUAACAAAAUGACUUCUGGGACUAGUACUUUUUAAGCUGUGUAUUGUAUAUUUCAUAAGCCAGCAUUUAAGAAAUUGUGUGUGGAAAUGAUGCCAAAUUAGUUACAAUUGCCAAACAUGCUAGAGCCAUGCUUAAGAAAGUGAUAAACAGUAAAAGGGAAGGCAGACCUUCUAGUGGAAUUCUCUAGGAUGUAUUCUGUACUUUAUAUAUUUCCAGCCAUUUCCCUCAAUUGCAGGGCAGACUCUUCCAUAAGUAAUUUAAACCCAAUGCAAUAGGCUGUGUCCCUUAUUAACUUUUCAAAGGCUGCUGAAAUAUUGUUUAAGGGCCUCCAUUAAGGUUCAGUUGACAAAAGUUAAAAAUGAGUUAUAUGUGGAGUGCUUUAUGGAAAAGGGGCACAAGUGACUAAAAAAAAAAAAAAAAAGCAGUGGGUGUUUUAAGUUAUGUGAAUGGCAUAACAACGGUAGGUAUGUAAGAACAGUAAACAAGUCACAAGAUAGACUAAAAAGUCUUGAGUUUUCCCUUUUUAAACCUUUUAAGAUAUGUUUGUAGUACUACAGCCUCAAAGGAAAAGAAAGGAGCCUCAAAGUCAUGACAGGCUCCAAUAAGAUAUACAGUAGAGACAAUUUUGAAAGCAAGUUGGGGUAAGUAUGAAAGAAAGAUUUCAGAACUUGAUGGGUUCACACAGGAGAGGUAAAAAUGAAAAUCUUGUCAAUAGCUUUCAGGUUGUUGCUAAAAGGCUAGUAAAAUGAGUGUCUACAAUAGCAGAGAACAGCCUGGGCAGUAAAAUGUCUCAAAAAAAACUAAUUGCAGGAAGACUCUGAAACAGCCUUGAAGGACGUAAAGCCUAGCUACUGCUUGUCUGUAAUUUGCUACAUCCUUUGUUUCUUAUGAAUUUUCAUGUCAGAUGCCGUUUUGUCAGAUUGCCCCUCUGCUGCCAUCUUUCUCAUGGCAACAAAAUGUAUUGGAAUAUUGGUGGGAGGGUUCAACACCUGCUUUACCACCAGCUUUCUCUGACAUAACAUGUCAACAUAAUGAAACUGCAGGCAUUAGUUUCAGAGCAGCCUUCCUUUAAAGAUUUGCCAGAGGAAAAAAAAAAAAAAAAGGUUUUGAUAAUAAAGAUGGGCAGAGAGCGACAUAGUUCUGCUGUAGCUUUUUUUUGAAUUGCACUUCUUAUGUUGUUGAAAGCAGUGGUGCUACCCUUGGAAGUCCACAGCAGGCUACAAAUAUUCAUCAGUCCAAUGUUGUGCUAUCAGUUUGUAUGACACUGCUGUGUACGCCGUUAAGGAUGUCAGCUACUGACAGAUGGUUAAACCCUUUAUGUUUGCCUUUCUCAGUUUCAGUGAGUUACCCCAUUAUCCUUGCUUUCCCUUGCUCUCAACAGUAUAUAGCAAAACAAGUCCUUUGUUGUCCUUUAAACUUAGAAAGUUGUUUCUCAUCGUUUACUACAUCACAGCAGACUAUAGCAUAUUGGCCCACAUGCCUUAGAGACAAGCCUCUUUUAUUUUCCUUUUUAAUACCACAGUUUUACAUUUGAAUUCAUCUCUUGCUUCAAAACCUAGCAGCAUUAAAAAAAAAAAAAUGAGUUGAGCUGAGCAGUUGCACUACAGGCAUGCAUAUAAGACCCAACCACUCCAUCACAGGACUGGAAAAGGGCUCUGUAUUUGCAGUUCAGAUUUCUGAGCUGUACUUCCCGUAAUUCACCGACGGAUGUCAGCAUUUCUCUAAAACUAGUCCUUUACUUUUGGAGUGACCUACAUAAAUGCAGCUCCAGACAAUUUCUCUCUGCUUAGUGUAGCCCCUGCAAGCCAAAAGGUUGGACAUACAUGGUUUAUGUGAUACAUAGUGCCACUGCCCCUUUUAGGUCACGGGUCUAGAUUUUAAAAAGACAAAAUAGUCCAUUUAAAAAUAAAUAUCUCUCAUGAUUCUGUGCAUCCAUGUCUUUACAUAAGCCUACUUUAAUGGGCAGACAGGUAUUUAGUCAAAUUUUAAUGAAGAUUUUAAUUACAUUUUCAAAUGUAAAAUUAUUUUAAAGCUCCUGAGCGGGUGUAAUCAGCUGCUUUCAUUCUUUUCUUUCCUGAUCUUCAAAAAGCAAUUGAGAUUGCUGGAUACCUAUGUGCUCAGACACUAGGGAUUUCUUUUUCUUUGCGUUCUGAGCCAGUGAGUAGCUACCGUCAUCAGAAAUAAUGGGCAAUUCCUGUUGAUAUUUGUCAAUAUGAACAUAGUACAAAUAACUAAUUACAGAUGGCAAUUGCCAGAUUGAUUCUGCUGCAUUUUUUAAUUGCUUUCUUGACCUUGUCUUUGUUAGCAUAGUUCAAUCAGUCUGUAUGGAUUACACCUUUUCCACUGGUUAUUAUCAACAGCCAGCCUUGGAAGGUAUAAACUAUUGGAAGUUUUUGUGAUGUUGCUCUUGGUGAAUCUAGCUUUUAUUUGACAUUUUAGAGUUAUUAGUUUUACAGCCUCAUCUACUCUUCUCUACCUCUGUUUUCCUUUGAGUUGCUUAUCUUUGUUUCUUUUACUUUUCUUAUGUAACAUUAUAAGAGUUUUUUGUUGUACAUUUUUUUCUGUGUCUUUCCUGACACAAGCUUUCUUGCUUGGCUGUCUGUCACUGCUUUAUCUCUACUAGAUGCUUUCUGUUGCCACAGUACUGAGCAGUUGGUUUUUUGUGGUUUUUUUUUUUUUUUUUUUGAUAAGGGUUCUUGCACCCUUCUCAAGUAUAAGUGUUGUAUUCACUUUUGCUAUCAAUCCACUGAACCUGGAUUUAUUGCUUUUUCCCUACCAGCUUUCUUACACAUUGUUUGGUCUUUACAUUGCAUGGCUUACUGCUUUAAGCCUAUCCUACGAGUGGUCUGUUGGUGCUCAUUCUUCCACAGGUAAUAAAAGGGAUGGAAGAGCAUGCAGGACAUACCUGAGAAGUUAAGUCCUAAGAGUUUGUGUCCCCAUCUUCAAGUUAAUACGAAUCUGAACCCAUUCUUAAGUGGUCCAGCUUAACAGUUUUAUUCUGAAUGUUAUUCAUAUAUGAGCACUCACUGGCUGUGACCAGAGUUACUGAUUGUCUGCAGAGCAAAGCGUGAGCAUGUUACUGUCUUACGUGAUUUCUGCAUUAGAAUUAGAUGAGAAUUUUUUUUUUAUUUCAUGGUCUCCGCUGCCAUAGUUGCUUUUGGGAGUCUGAAGAGUAAGAAAAGGUUCAGUAAAGAAGGGGUCGGCAGAAACUAAGGGUAAAAGGAUUAGGAAUGGCUUACAGAAGAAAACAUGCAGAGGCCGCUAGAAGAAUGGGAUAGUAACAAGAUGGGAUAAGGACAGUGCGGGAGUAGAAGAGAGAAAGAUGAGGGUGUGGAAAACAGCUCAAGGACACCAGGCAAGGAGGUGAUAAGGCGUCCCCAGAGCAAGUUAGAACUGGUUUGGGGGCUACCCCUUCCUCGAGGUCAGAAGUUUACAGCGAAGAAGAGUACGAGCCUUCAUCCAACGACUACCAGGAGACCCCCACUGCUCAUGACGCAUGCUAAGCAGUUCUCGGAAAUAGUUUGAUUCUGAAAGUCAGUUUGGCACCCCAGAGGGGACAGUCCCUGUCCGGCUGCAGGACCAGCUGAGGAGGGGGACGCCUUAGGCGCGCCCCGAGGUUUCUCAGAAGGACUCCCCUUCGUCUUCUGAUCACUGCGGGGAUAGACAAGGGUCAUCAGUCGGCGGACCAGAAAAAAGUGAUGUUUCUUCAAUCCAAGAUCUGAUUUACAAAACACUGUAUUUUCCUGAGAAACUACAGCCUAACAGCCCCUUGCAGUGUCAGAAUCCUGCUGGAACAAACUCCUCUGCCCACCACACUGUCAUCCAGAAUCCCUUACAAGACUCAUAAAGGUGAACAUCUUCCAUCCCAUUGGAAACACUCUUCUGACUGGAACUGAGUGUUCACCCUGCAUGAUAGUAUUCUCAGCUUGUCUCUUCUAUCUCAGCUGAAUUUGGAUGGGAGUAAUAGGCUCACCUGCUAUAUUACAUCUGUAUCUUCACCCAUUUGUAUAAUGUUUUACUGGACAUGCAUAAUGGAUGGAGCAGUCCCUUCACUAUUAUGGCAGCCUGAGAGGGUUGGAUAUGAGAGCAAAUAUUAUUAAUUUGGUGAUUUUGUGUUAGCAAACAAUAACAUUUAAAGAUCUUGAAGGCUGUUAUUUAAAAGCUUGCUGUGCUAUGCUCUGCAAAAUAUCCAAGAGCUGUCCUAACAGGGAGAAUGAAUUUUGUGUGGAGGAAUAGGGUGUCUUGCCAUUGGAUCAAAAAGUCUGUUGCUCUUGUAUGGGAGGACAGGACUUUUUACAUAAUACUGCAGCUGUUCUUUUUUGUUUGUUUGUUUUUGUUUUUGCACUUUCCAUUUCUAAAUUAAUGAAAUAUUUAUAGAGGACAGAAUCAGUCCUCUGUAUCUGAUGGCUGUGAAAAUUGAAGCACAAAGCAAUAAAGUGAUACAACCUGCUUUCUAACAGUGAGCACUCCUAUUGCUUCUCAGAACAGCAUUCUUGCAUCUCUGACUACUCUGUAACCACAGUGGAAUUUUUUCCCCAUUUUAAUGACCUCUCAGAAGCAUUUUUGCAUGCUCCCAUAUAAUACUAAGUGCUUGUAUAUAACUGGACUAAUGAGGCAAGAGCUCUGAAGUCACAGUAAUGCUUUGGUACCAGUGUUGCUCAGAUUAGUGGAAGUUGUGAGCAGCAGGGCUUGAAUUUGUUGUCUAUGGAGAGCUAACAGUGUAGGAACCACAUACUAAUGGGAUAAAUAAGGAGUUGUUUUGGGGCUGCUCAGCUCUGGACUGUAACUUCAGGGAGUUCCGUCAGCUGUCAUGAUGCUGCGAUAAACAGCCACCUGUCCCACUGGGCAAUCACCAUACAGAGCAUAGCCUUAGCUGCUGGCAGUGCAGUGUGACUUGGGCUCUCAUCAUUCCCACUGUGCUUUCCUAAUAGUGAUGAGUCCUGUACUGGCUAUUAGUUAGGUCAUAGUAAAUUGGCCUCCCUCUAAUUUCAGGUUUCUGUUUCCAACAACCUAGAGCUGCUGUUCUGAUGGCCAGAACAAGUGAGGAUUCUCAUUUUUCUCCCUCAGAAUUUCAGGUGAAGCAGUAGCAGCUACCCUUCUCUCUUCUCCUGUGGCCCAGCUGUAGAGGUGGGAUGAACAGGCUGGUUCUGAGAUACAUUCCUAGUCCUGUUGCUACUUGAUUUUAAUCUUCAGAAUUAGCAGACCUGACACUGAGGGACCACAGUGCAGCAGAGUUCUGCAACACAGGUUACCGAGAACAUAUUGUGUGGGAACUGUUGAAUCAUGGCCCGAACCACUGAUUGAUCACCUGAGGCAAGCACUGAGUAAGCCACGGGAGCACAGGUGAAGGCAAUUCACCUGUGUGACCAGAAGGGGUGGAACCUGGCUCCACCUCUCCUAGACCCCAUUUAAGGGCUGACUGCCUCGGGAGAAGGAUCUCUUUCUGGAGGUCACUCCCUUUGGAGUUUUUCUGGGCACCUAAGACAUGGGAAGUGCUUCCAUUUAUUUUUUUAUUAUCCCUUUCUACUGUGAUAAUCCUUCUAGUUAUACAACCUGUAAAAUAGCAGCCUAACCAUACCGCUCUGCUAAUUGUAUAUUUGUUGAUUGUAUGCAUAUAACGGAUCAACAGGCAUAUGUGUUGUGGCAUGUGCUGUUCCAUCCAUAAAACAAGUUGCUGUUCUUUAUCUGUGUUGGGUUGUGUAUUUUCUCCUCAUGCCUCCUUAAUUCUGUGGCCUCUGCCUCCUACACUGGGGACAUAAACAGGAUAAUUACAAAUAACAGCAGUGUCUUGAGUUCUCACUCAUGGUUUGCACAACCUGGUGUGUGUACAGCUGCCCAGGUGAUGGACUCUUGCUGUAUGUGCUUUGAUGAAAAUAGAGCACUACCACAAUUUGUGCUUCUCAUGGCCCCACUUAGCAUCUUGUUUGGCUUUGGUGAGGCAAGCAGUUUCCAUAGAAAUACUCUUCUUGAGCCCAUGUUGGGAUCUCAGAGGUUCCUGCAACGAUUGCCUGGAACAUUUCAUUUGUCACUGGUUGAGCUAAUCUGUUAGCUGGGUCUUACAGGCUGUUAUAGUGCUACUGCAUUAAAACUUCCUGACCCAUAACAGCAAAAGAAGAUUGUCUACGCUCAUUAACAGAGAACAUCUUAGCGCUGGCAGUUUAUGCCAAAUGGGAAUCUUUCUUAGCAACACAAGCAUAAGGGGGAUACAAAUAGUUGUAUGACUGAAACUGAUCUAUGCGAAACAAAUUUUGCCAUACAGGUCAAAUGAUAAGCAGUUCAAAUUGAUCUACUGUUGAAAUGUUGAUUUAUUUUAGUCAGAACAGGAAAGUGUUAAACCAUCUUAAAAUAUAACAAAACAUGUAAAUGUUGCAACUUGUGCAGCUUAGGCCUCUUCUCCUGUUGGAUAACAUUGCUUUGUGCUGUACAAGCCCAAGAAUGCUUCUUUGUGGAAAAUAAAGGUCAGAAGGUAUGGACACUAUAUACUAUGGGUGUACAACUUUUUUGCUUGUCUGGGCCACACUGAGUGAAUGGGAAUCAUCUUGCACCACAUCUAAAAUAUAUAAUAAUGUAUAAAAUCUCAUAAACAGGCAUGAUAAAAUUUUUGAGUUGAAUAUUAGACUGUAGCUGCAUACAUAGCAAAUACACAUGUAAUGUAUUUAGAUCAACUAAAAAUGGAGUCCCAAAUACAGAGGGGGGGGGGGGAGGGGGGAUUUUUUUUUUAUCUCAAAACCUAUUCUCAAAAUGUUUUUUCAAAACAGAAAGCAAGGCUGCAUAUUUUUCACUGUUCACAGGACUGUGUUUAGCCAGCAUAUCAAAAUGCAUGAAAUAUUUGAUGUAGCUUGAGCUUGCCAUAGUUCUAAGUUUUAUUUCAAACACUGUUAUAUUUGAAACACAGCAGAUGAUAUCAUUUUCAUCUUGAAGCUGCAUGUUCAACUCAUUUAAAUGAGUGGUCAAAUCUGCUAAAGAUGGUAAAUCUGCGAGCCUUUUUUAAUCUUCUCAUUCUGAGACAAAUUUUCCUUUUGACUCCACAAAGAACUUCAUUUCAUUUCUCAAAUCAUAUAAUAUUUUUAGUGUUCUACCUUAACUUAGGCACCUGGCUUCAGAAAAGUAAGUGAUGUCCCCAUAAUCAGCAGCCUUACUUUUAAGGAACCCCUGGAAUUGAUGAUGAUUCAGUUCCGUAGACUUUAUGAAAUACAGAGCUUUGAUGUUUUUGAAUUACAUUAUCAAUUUUUAAAGCUUUCUCACAUAAAUUUUAUUGGUGUUUGAUGCAACAGUAUUUCAUCAAGUGUGAUUUUCUGGUGGCAGCUGCAUUAUUUUCUCUUAAUUUUGUAAGUCCCUUUUUUUACCAGCCAUCAUUAGGGUGCCAUCAGUAGCUUCACCAAAUAUGUUGACAAAAGUUAAAGAAAAUUGCUUGAAUGUAUUUUUUACUGUUUCAUACAAAUGAGGAGAUGUAGUUAUGUCUUUUAAAGACACCAAAGAAGCCAUUUCUUCAGUGACAUUAUAUUCAUUAUCAAUAUGUAUUACAAAAAUGGCAAGGAGAUUCAUAUCUGCGCCAUCAAUACUUUAUCACUAAAGCAAAAAAAAAGAAAAAAAAAUAGCAACUUUACUCUCCAUAUUACUUUUGAUAGAUUUUUCCUUUUUCUUCUAUUCACUUGGCUGUACUCUGGCAAGAUAAACUGAUUUUAGAAAAGUCUGCUUUGGACAUAUUAUGUGUGCCAUACUUUCCAUACAUUGCUUAAUAAACUCAUCUUCAGUAAAUGUUUUUUUUUGUUUGUUUGUUUGUUUGUUUUUCAGUCACAUUUGCUAUCACAUAACUAGCUUUUAUAAUAGAGUCCAUUUGAGUUUGAAUUUUUUAAAAAAGAUUUUGUUGGGAUGACAGGUUUUUUUCAGUUUCACUGUUUUGUCUUUAUGAAGCAUAAAUUCCUUAAUAUUUAUUAAAUUUGGCAGCAUGUUUCUGCAUAUAAUGUCUUUUCAGAUUGCAAUCUUUGAAAACAGACACAAUCUUGACUAAAAUCUACUCGUCUAUUUUUCCUUGAACGCUCUUCCUUCCUCCACAACUUUUUUUUUUUUUUUUUUUGGCUCUGCUUUCCAUUGAGACAGUAUUAGAGACAGGUUUAAAUAGUAUUAGCAAUCACUUCAUUUUACUCAAUAAGCGCGUCUAUAUGUAAUACACGUAGGGCUUGAUGCAACUGAGUUGCUGUGGGUGCGAGAGGAAGACUAAGCACUACUACUGCUGCGCCCUCCCUGUGUCUAGAGGGUGGGCCAAGCUGUAGCAGCAGGGGCUGGGCCACACUGCAAGCUGUGCCAGGCCGUGGGUUGCAUGUGCCUGUUGUGACACAUUGCCUGUUUGUCAGCCAUCAGAACUCACAGCAUUGGAGUUAGAAGUUCUUUCAUGUAGCAAAUAACAUUUGCUGAAUCCUACUCGGUGGCAGGUUGGCAUACCGGCUGGUACCUGGUAGCUCUUCCACAAGACAUGAUUUGCAAGAUAUUGUUUUAUGUCCCAGUGACAGCGCAUAGCAAAUGAGGAGUUCAGCAGACUCAGACAGUAGAUACUUGCGUAUGAAUGAUUUGUUGCUUUGGUUGUGAAGCUCAAUUUAUUAUCAAGUAAAUAAGGGUGUUGUUUUUUUUUUUUCUCCUGGGAGAUGAUAAUUCUACUGGCCAUGUCUGAUCUCGUUUUUGUGAUUUAUUUGAUGAAUGUAGUUAUUUCUGUUAUUCUGGCAUUUGCCAGUGGACUAUCUAGCAAGGAGAGCUAAGACCAAAUGUACGUAGAGAGCUCAAUGCUCUUCAGUUCCGUGAAUUGCCUGCUACUGGCCUCUGGGAAUACGAAUGACUGUAGCUUCCAUUCCUUUCAAAACCCCAAGCUCCUGGCAAGAGGAAUGAUGUGAUUAUGGCUUCAGGAUGGUGCAUGGAUUUGGGAAUGGAAUUACUUUUUGCACAUGGGCAGGCAUGUCCAACCCGCUGUCUGUGGCUGCGCACAGUGUGCUACUAAUGCUGUGCUGACUGAAAGCAGGGCAUGGAGAAGGCAGUGCUGACUCAAGUGACAGCAAAUAAUUCUAUGCCUUUUGAAACACUGGCUAAGCACAGGCCUCUGAUCAGCAAAGAAUACGUGGCCAUGCUUUCUGUUUUGAUAAAGGAAUUUGCAAAUAGAAUCAUAGAAUCCUUUGAGUUGGAAGGGACCUCUAAAGGUUAUUUAGUCCAAGUUCCCUGCAAUGAAGAGGGGCAUCCACGGCUUGAUGAGGAUGCUCAGAAACUGGUCCAGCCAGACCUUGAAUGCCUCCAUGGACAGGGCAUCCACCACAUCUCUGGGCAACCUGUGCCAGUGCCACACCACUCCCACUGUAAAAGAGUUUUUCCUGAUAUCAAACCUAAAUCUCCCCUCUUCAAGUUAGAAACCAUUUCCCCUUGUCCUAUCACCACAGAUCCUGCUGAAGAGUCUGUUCCCUUCUCUGUUAUAGCCCCCUUUUAGAGACUGAAAGGCUGCUAUCAGGUCUCCCUGGAGCCUUUUAUUUUCUGGGCUCAACAGCCACAGCUUUCUCAGCCUGUUCUCAUAGGGCAGGUGUUCCAUCCCUUGUAUAAUUUUUGUGGCCCUCUUCUGGAUGUGCUCUAUUUUCUGAAUAAUUGCCUCCACAUCCAUUCAUUAUUUCCCAUUAGAGAAGAUUGAAUCCUAUCCUUUUGUUGAAUUUGAUAUAUAACCACUUGUAAUUAGUACCAUUAGGUGGGUUUCCUCUAUACUGGGUACAGUUUACUCUGUUCACAGUAGCAGUCUGAAAAUCAGUGUCAUUUGGCCUUGGGCAACGUGCACGACUGGCCACCCCGGGGCAAAGGCAACAACACUAGUCAAUAUACUUACCACAGGUACAGUCACCAGAGCCUAGAAAACUUCAGAACAGGUGGUCCCACAGAUUCUGAUGCCCACUGCUUUCUUGGCGACUUCUUCACUCUUGAGUAGUAAAUCCAGUUGGGUUGUUCCCUGAUUUUGACUGCAGUAAAUGUUGUCUACAGCACUCAGGAUGGUCCUUCUCUUCCAAUGGCUGUCCUGAAAGAGCUUUAGCAUGCACCCAAUCUCUUGGUUUGAAGGGGUGAAUUGGUUGAUCUAAACCUCUGACUCCCCAAACCUCUUUCUGAAUUUUGCUUAACUGAUUUCCCAGUGCAAUCAUAUAUCUCUGUAAAUAGUUUUCACCCAACUUAUUCAGAUCCUCCCCUUUAAACUGAAAUUGGUAAGGUCUACCGUGCAGUAUUUCAAAAGGACUCAAACUUUCUUGGUUUUACCCUAAUUCUCAUCAAGUCUUUAGGGAGUGCUUGAUACCAAUAUAAAUUAUCUGCCUGACAAAUUUUUUCAGUUUGAUGUUUUAUCAAAUGAUUCAUCUUUUUGACUAGCCUGCCUGCUUGUGGUUGACAGGGUGUGUGCAAUUGCCAAUCACUGCCCAGCAUUUUACUGACUUCUUGUACCACUUGCUCACAGAAGACAGGGGUACUGUCUGACGACAUCACAACAGGUACCCCAGACUGAGGCAUUACGUCAUUUAAUAAGACUCUUGUAAGUUCUCUUGCCUUAUCUGUUCUACAAGGAAAAGCUUCUGGCCAACCUGAAAAAGCGUCUGUCAGCACCAGUGAGUACUGAUGCCCCCCUUUUCUAGGGAGUUCUGAGAACUGUAUUUGCCAUUGUUGUCCUGAAAUGUUCCCUUUCGCGAUAGACCCCACUUGUACUCUGUUCCUGGUAUUAGGAUUGUUCUUCAAAUGGAUUUCACGUUGUUGAGUAACCUGUUUCAGCACGGAAUACAGAUUACAACCAUUGUUACUUUGUUCAAAUACUUACAAAGAGCAUCUGCUCACGAGUGUGUUUUAUUAUUUUCCCCUAGAACCAAUUCCCAUAAGAUGCUCAAGGGCACGACAACGCGUCCAUCAGGUGUAUAUGCCCAUCUGUUGGUUCCCUCCUUUCCUUCUAAGUCAUUAAAUGCCUAUCUUCUUUAGAAUAAUUCACGGGUUCUGACUCAAGUUCAGUGAUUUGAAGUUUACCGUCUGGAAUUAAAGUCAGUUCACCGAUUUCUUUUCCUUCAGCUGCCUGUUCUGCCACCUGAUUGACCAUCUUAUUUCCAAUUUCCUGUACAGUGUUACCUUUCUGAUGUCCUUUACAUUGCAUAGUAGCCGUGCUCUUUGGUAGAUCUACAGCUUCCAGCAGAUGCACAAUUUCUUUGGCAUGCUUGAUUUGUUUUCCUCGUGUUGUAAGCAAUCCUUGCUCUUUCCAAAUGACACCAUGGGCAUGUACAACCCCAAAUGCAUACUUAGGAUCUGUCCAUAUGUUCAUCUUUUUUCCUUUUGCCAAUUCUAAAGCUCUCGUCAAGGCAGUUGUUUCAGCCUUCUGAGCAGAAGUCCCUGCAGGUAAUGGUUUUGCUUCAAUUACCUUGUCAGUAGUGGUUACCACGUAUCCUGCCUUUGUUUCCUUAUCUCACAAAACUGCCUCCGUCUGUGAACCAGGAAUCUUCAGCAUCAUCCAUUGGUUCCUUCUUUAGGUCUGGCUGUCUGGCGUAGAGAGUCUCCAUCGUAUGAGAUGUACUGGAGUCACAAUAGAGUACUUCUAUCUUUUGUCUCAGUACGUGCCAGGACAUUUUCCUCAGGUUCUGCAUACACUGUUUUUAAAAAGUGGCUCACUAUGGCCUAAUAAGCAAUGGAAAUUUUCCAGAGUGGGUGAAAGUGAGUCAAAGGCCUUGGUGAUGAAGCUGCUGGUGCAAAAUGGGGAAUGAGGAGGUGGGCACUCAACCACCCUAGAUACCACUGAGCAUGCCCAAAGGGACAUUAGCACAUAUUUAUGAGUCCUUGGAAAAAAAUGAAUGCGUAUGCCAAUGUACUGCAUAUGUAUGUCUUAACUGUUUGAACGUAGAACCUGAACUCUGAGAGGGUGCGCUUGCUUGUCAAGUCGCCUGGUAUGUAUGGUGAGGAAUAAAGGAGUACUAAAUUGGAGUUAAGGGAGUUUUUGUCCUGGAUUUUGGAUGACAAUUUUUGGUGACCCAGAUGGGACACUGUGUCUGUGAUCUUGUGGACCAAAGGACCAGAGGGGACCUCUGUUCAAUGCACUCACAGAGGUGAUUCUCGGGGAGCUCCCCUCUGAUCCUGUCGGGUCUGGCUGCGAGUUCCCUGGAAUACCGUAAGGCAUUCCAUUCCUUUUUUAUUGCCUCCGGUAAAUCAUGAAAGAAGUCUGUAUCAUGUACAGAGAGCAAGGGUAAUGGGAUCCCAGGGUACCCUAUUAUACAGUGUCAGAGAGAGAGCCUGAAUGUGAUAGGGGCCCACGUUGCAGACAUGGAGGAAUCAGCUGUGGAAAUUGCAGAGGAAACUUGUUGAAAAUUGUAAUGAUUGGUGGGUUGGAGAAGUGAUUAAAAUUAAUUGUGGAAUCCUGAGAUCUGUGGAAAAAUAAUAACAAGCGGAGUUCCAAUCUUGUGAGAGGAUAUUGGUUAUAGCUGUCCCUGAAGGAAUUUGGUGUGCAACCAUGCCUUGAGGGAGCCAUCAGACUUCAUCACCUAGCAAUUUGAGGAGGGACAGGGACAGUUGUCCAGCAGUGUGUGCUAUUAGACGUUGUGAGCUGUGCCAGCUGAUGCAGGUGGGUGCUGGCACGAGAACACCCUUGCAGUGCUGCCCCGCCAUGACUUGCAAACGGAACUCUUGGAGAGAGAGCCGGGGGCUGCAGACUCCUGCUGUAAAGUGUGGUACUUGCAAAUGGGUUGGGGGGUUGGGGGGAAGGAGGGGGGGAGAGAGGACAGGGGCAAGAUAUUGGAAGUGAGAAUAGCCUUCAUCUGCAGAGAUCUAGGAAACCCGAUAUCCCUGUGUCUCAGCUUGACUGGCUCGCAGUUUGUGAGCUCCCUGGGGCUUAUGAGAAAUAAAGCUGUGUUAAGGAUUCUGAUUCUCCAGAACUUUUCCGUUUGUGUCUGCAUGAUGUGGAUCUGCUUUCAGGGCAGCCAAACAUGAAAUACACGUGAGAGCCAUAGAGAACUGUGCCAGUAUUGGCUGAGGAUAGUAUCAGGGAAACGCUUCUCUUGCCAUUGGUUAUGUCCUCCAGUGAGUCAUGUGAAUCACGAAUGACGGGGAGAGGGUGGGGCUAGUAGCUGUAACUCAGCAGCUGAUGAUUUUGCUGAAGAGCUAAGCCAAACUUUAGAGCUGCGGGAGCCUUAAAUACAGCACGUGUCACCUCAGAGGCCUUGGCAAGAUACGUGAGUUCCACUCUCCGCACUUCAUAGAUGGGAAAAUGAAGCUACAGAAGAGAGAAAUAAUUUCCUUGAUGUCACAUGGCAGCUUAAAGCAGAAAACUAAGGCAUUAAUAUCCCGUGCACCAACCUCCUAGGUCCUAUGUGAUUUGGACUGGCAGUUAGUCUAGGGGAGCUGACUGUCAUUCUACCAACCCUCUUCUUCCUCACAGCAUCAGCUGGUACUGCUUGCUUUUAGUGCCUAAACAGAAGUAGAACUUCGUUUAGAGUACAGAAUACAACUUUGGAAACCGAAGCUGCAGUCAACGUGUAUAUUUCUGUGCAUAUCUAAUUAGACAGAAAAUUGUAAAAUACAUGCUUGAAUUAUACCACAUACUGUGCUGGCAAGGUCUUUUCAUUUUCUGGCAACUUCCAUGUAAACCACCUCUACCAGGCAUAUUCCCAGUAGACUUCCUGGAGUUUCUGGCACUCUCCCUCUUCAAAUAAAUAGUUAAUGGGAAAUUGCUCAUCUUUGUUUCCUUGCUCUCUUUGAUGAUGCGUAACAGAACUUGUUAAAACAGUUGCUUCCUUUUUCUCUACCAUCUUGAUAUACUUGUUACUUCAGAUUAACUGGUGAAUUGUACAAUAACAAAGCCAAACAAACAAACAAAAAAAAUUCCAUUCACUGAAGAACUGAUGUCCACGAAGCUACAGGACAACGGUCUCAAAGUAUGAGAAGGGCAAGAUGGUGAUUGUUUCCCAUGAGGGAAUCUUGAAGGACUCCAGGUUUUCCUGGUUCCUCAGAGAUGAUGUGAAGUGACUCAGGCCUUCCCCUGGGACCCUGGCUGAGGUCCAUCACCAUUUGAAUUCUCUCUCCCACCUGCUCCUCAGGGCUGGCACCAGAGUACAGACCAGGGUAGAACUCGUCAUCCCUCUGGAAGUAAAAUGUAUGGAUGCCUUUGGUGGCAUGCAGACAAAAGAGCUGGUUUGCUUUGUAAAGGAAGGUGGAAGCCUGCUCAGUCGAUGCCAGGCUUGGCACUGGGCCAGUCUACGUGGCAAGGAGAAAGUGCUGUUUAAAUUCCCUGGGAGUCAGUGUUGGCGGUGUGUAUUUCCCAGACAGCAAGGGAGAGACUCGCUCUUUCUCUGCGUCCAAAGAAAUGCCAAGGAUUCCUCUGAUCACCCAGUGAAUAUUUAAAUAUUUACUUGCACCGUCUUUAGAUUCUAUUUUACUGUUAUUCUGCCUUGAGUUUUCUGCUAUUGGUCUCCAAGAACAGGAAAAAAAAAAAAAAAAAAAAAAAAAAAAAAAAAAGAUACCUUUGCUAUGUUCCCCAAACCAAUGGCUAAAUUAGAGACCAGUGUUCGCAGGUUGCUGAGAGACUAGGAGCUUUGCUCACGUGGUCUAUGUUAAUGUGUUCAACAGAUGACUGCUCAGGAGGAAACUUGUCUGUAUCUACUUAGUGCACAUCUUUUUUUUUUUUUUUUUUUUUUUCUUUUUAUUCCUCACUCUCUCCAUACUACAGCUUUGGUGCCACUUCCUGAGUUAUUUAGAUCCUUCCUGAUGCUGGACCAAAAUAAGUCCUUUACCUUUCCUGCUGAUGUUCUCUGGCAUGGUGUAAACCAGGCACGUGCCGCCCGCGGGACGCAUGCGGCCCAGCACGGCAGGCAAUGCGGCCCAUCCCCUCCCCGCUCCGUAAAGGCGGCGGCUCUUCCCGCGGAGCGGCCCCAGGCACGCGCCCAUCGCUCAGCAACAGCAAAACAGUCAGUGCGCUAUUAACGCUGCGUCGACUGAAAGCAGGGCGUGGGGGGGGGCAGUGCUGUGCAGUGCUGACUCCCGUGAUGGCAAAUAACUAUGUAUUUUGAUACGUUGGCUAGACACAGGGCUCUGAACAGCAAAGAGCACAGUCAUGCUUUCUGUUUUGAUAAAGGAAUUUGAAAACAGAAUCACAGAAGCAUGGAAUCAUAGAAUCCUUAGAGUUGGAAAGGACCUUUAAAGAUCAUCUAGUCCAACUCCCCUGCAGUGAACAAGGACUUGCAGAGCUCGAUCAGGUUGCACAGAGUCCCUUCCAGCCAGGCCUUGAAAGUCUCCAGGGACAAGGCAUCCACCACAUCUCUGGGCAACCUGUGCCAGUGCCUCACCACCCUCACUGUAAAAGACUUUUCCCUUACAUCCAACCUAAACCUACCCUCUUCAAGUUAGAAACCAUUUCCCCUUGUCCCAUCACAACAGACCCUGCUGAAGAGUCUGUCCCCUUCCUUCUUGUAGCCCCUCUUUAGAUACUGAAAAUCUGCUAUCAAGUGUCCCCGAAGCCUUCUCUUCUCCAGGCUGAACAGCCCCAGUUCUCCCAGCUUGUCCUCACAGGAGAGAUGUUCCAUCCCAUGGAUCGUUUUUGUGGCCCUCCUCUGGAUGCGCUCCAACAGGUCUAUGUCUCUCCUGUACUGAGGACUCCACAUCUGGAUGCAGUACUUCAGCCCUACAGCUACCUGCUGGACUCACCUUCUUCUGUCUCCCAUUCAGUUACUUGCCAACAGUGCCUAUCACAUUCAGAGCACAAAUUUUACCCCCAGGAACAUUUUCUCACUGUUCUUGCACAAGAGUACAACAUUGUGCGUUGUAUCCCUUGGAAGUAUAGUUCAGGGUUAAACUCCAACAUCAAGCAACAACUGAGAAGGAACAGUUGCACCACCUCCUUAUGUUUGAGUAAGAUUUUCUAUAUUCUAAUAAAAUUAGCGACUAGACCCUGAAUUUGAGUCUGAAAUGCUUCAUGCGUUUGGAGAUGUGUUUCAGCAGCAAAAAGCUCAUGAAAGCUACACAGUAACUUCCUUCUCUACUGAUUCUUGUUCCUUUUUUUUUUUUUUUUUUUUUCUUUUGCGUUGUGGACAGUUUAAAGCAAUCCUGGGAAAUGUUGCUUUUUUUUUUUCCCCAGUGAAAUUGUGCAUCUCUUGUAGCUUGGGUGGGGAUGGAGAAGAGUAAGACUACUCUGACUGACAUCUUGGCAUGAGAUUUGAGAACCUACCUAGAUUUCAGUAACCCUUUAGGUUACUAUUAAAUUAAAUGCAACAGCAGAGCCCAGGCUGAAGACAAAGAAAAGCUGAGAGGAUGUUGGGAAGAAAAGCAGGCAGCAAAUAACUUCUCAAGGAGCCAUACUGAAUCAUCCAGCUGCUUUUCUUGUUUCAUAAUGGAUGAAAGUCACCAUCUUUGCACACAACAAAAAAAGGAGUGAGCCAGCUCAGUGCAAACAAGACAUGAUGAUUUUCCAGAAACUGUUAGAUGGUCUGUUAAAAAAAAUUCCUUUAUGUAUGCCCCACUGCGUGUAGGGGCAGUAAUUCUCCAAAAUCUGUGUUCAAAUGUCCACUCCAUCCCUCCCUUGCCUUUUACUUUCUUUUGCAUUGUUCUCCUCUGUUGUCUGAUGCAUGCUCUUCUUUGCACGGUCAUGUCUCACUUCCACAUCUCUCCUGGGUACUCUUCUUGGAUGACAGCAUGUCUUUCUCACUUGCUUGAGGAACUUCCUCUCAACCAACGAAGCAGGCAAAGCCUCCUUCAGGUCAGUUCCUGGGUCCUCUCCGUUGACUGAACCUCUCUAAGCAUUUUUCUCCAGGCCAUCCUGAAUCAUUCACAUUUCUUCUCAGAAGCCUUUCUGAUUUGGCAUAUAUAUCCCAGCAGCCAUUUCCCUUAAUUGCCACCCUCCAACAUCUGCUCCAGUCUGAAAUCAGGAUAAGCAAAAACCUGGCCAUUUUGCCACAAGGUAAUGACAGAUAAAUGGAGAUAAGUAACAACGUUGGAGUAAAAAGUACAAAUCAAACCCUUUCAAACUCAGAAAUGGAGUCCCAUUUCCUGAAACACUGCUGUGCAAUUCUACAUGCUGUAAAUCAGGUUGUGAUAGACCACUGAGGGCAGCAGACAUCUUUGGCUGUGCUGCAGGUUAAAUUGGGCUAAGAUCUAUACUAGCUGUAAACCUGAAAGCAAAGCUAGAAUUCCUAACAGAUUAAAAAAAAAAAAAAAAAAAAAAAAAAAAAAAAA